rnacentral:rRNA from 1 species
UACGUAGGGUGCAGGCGUUAAUCGGAAUUACUGGGCGUAAAGCGUGCGCAGGCGGUCUUUUAAGUCAGAUGUGAAAUCCCCGGGCUUAACCUGGGAACUGCGUUUGAAACUGGAAGGCUAGAGUGUGGCAGAGGGGGGUGGAAUUCCACGGUGUAGCAGUGAAAUGCGUAGAGAUGUGGAGGAACACCGAUGGCGAAGGCAGCCCCCUGGGCUAACACUGACGCUCAUGCACGAAAGCGUGGGGAGCAAACAGGA